AUGACGAUGUUGAUGCCCCUGUGGUCGACUACGUCACCGACGACCCCUCCUUGCCAGAGCAACCAGGCAAGCCCCCACCCUUGAUCACCAGAUAUCGCCUAUUCUUCUCUAUACUGCUUGCAUUAGAGUAGUGUAGCAUGUUACUGCUUUCCGUUAAUCCUAUUCUGAUGCAUAGCCUGACAUCGUUGCUACAGUCAUUGAUACCUUACCCGCAAUCCUAAAUGCUUAGUAUAGGAUGCUAGUUUAUCAUCAUUGGCCCUACAUUCUUGUCAGUCUGCCUUGCUAUACUAUCGGGCCGUGAUCACUUGGGAGGUGAUCACGGGUAUAUACUAUACAUACAUACAUACUAUACAGAUGGUGACUAAAGUCGGGUCCGCUCGAAGAGUACCCGCGAGUGAUUCACGGAUUGGGGGCUGAAAGGACCUUUGUCCCGACGGCCCUCUGUGUGGAUCUUUGUGGCAGAGCGACAGGGCAGGUUGAGACCACCUAGGCGAGAGGUGGGCCUGGCCCUGGUCGGCGUCCGCGGUUGCUUCAUAAUAACACGCUUAACGAGACCUUGGUAUUUGAUCUGAGUCUGGCCAUUUGGUCUAUACGCACUAACCAUCUACGUGGGAGUAGUUAUGGGUAUCCCGGCGUCGUGGUAUCAGCCGAAGCCUUCGUGAUGUCAGCAACUGAGCGGCGCGCGCCGGAUUGGACUGGAACGCCACUAGGCUAGGUCUGCUUCCGGCCGCCCACGCAACGUGCAGGUGUGCUCAGGGCGAUGGGCCCAGACCCCUGCGCGCUUAGGUUUAGACCGGCGUGCUGACCUCUCUGUUGUGCCUAGGUGGGGCUGCGACGUGUUGAUCUUCUGAGGCCGGGCAUGACCCAGGAAAGUGUGUCCGGCCAAAUAGGAUCGAGCGUGUUGGGUUAUGUGGUGCACCCCUGCAGGGAAGUUAAUCUAUUCGAAUAGCCGUGUCCCUCGGUAAAAGGACGACCCGUAGUUGUACCUUGACCUUAUGACAACUAGAACCGGAUACUUAAUAAAAUACACCCAGAUAAGUUCCACAGACAACCCGGUGAUCGCUUUUCCACAGGGUGACGAGGGGAGGAUCGCCGGGUAGGAUUAUGCUAUGCGAUGCUACUGGAGAUGCUACUUGGAGAGACUACUUGGAGAUGCUACUUGGAGGACUUCAAUCUACUCUCUUCUACAUGCUGCAAGACGGAGGCUGCCAGAAGCGUAGUCUUCGACAGGAUUAGCUAUCCCCCUCUUAUUCUGGCAUUCUGCAGUUCAGUCCACUGAUAUGGCCCUUUACACAUAUACCCAUGCAUAUGUAGUGUAGCUCCUUGCUUGCGAGUACUUUGGAUGAGUACUCACGGUUGCUUUCUCCCCCUUUUCCCCCCCUUUCCUUUCUUUCUAGUUGUCGCAACCAGAUGCUGGAGCCCAGGAGCCAGACGCCACCGUCGAUGACGACUACUACACUGGAGGUGCCUACUACUACGUGCAGCCCGCUGACGACGACCAGGAGUAGUUUAGGAGGAUCCCAGGCAGGAGGCCUGCGCCUCUUUCGAUCUGUACCCCCAGUUUGUG
rnacentral:lncRNA from 1 species